rnacentral:rRNA from 1 species
AUAAGCCUACGGGGCGCAGCAGUGAGGAAUAUUGGUCAAUGGGCGAGAGCCUGAACCAGCCAAGUCGCGUGAGGGAAGACGGUCCUAUGGAUUGUAAACCUCUUUUGCCGGGGAGCAAAAAGCGGUACGUGUACCGCAUCGAGAGUACCCGGAGAAAAAGCAUCGGCUAACUCCGUGCCAGCAGCCGCGGUAAUACGGAGGAUGCGCGCGUUAUCCGGAAUUAUUGGGUUUAAAGGGAGCGCAGGCGUCGAGUUACGUCA